UUCCAGACUCCUACGGGAGGCAGCAGUGAGGAAUAUUGGUCAAUGGGCGAGAGCCUGAACCAGCCAAGUCGCGUGAGGGAGUACUGCCCUAUGGGUUGUAAACCUCUUUUGUCGGGGAGCAAAAGCCGGACGUGUCCGGCUGUGAGAGUACCCGAAGAAAAAGCACCGGCUAACUACGUGCCAGCAGCCGCGGUAAUACGUAGGGUGCGAGCGUUAAUCGGAAUUACUGGGCGUAAAGGGUGUGCAGGCGGCUGAGUAAGACAGAUGUGAAAUCCCCGGGCUUAACCUGGGAACCGCAUAUGGGACUGCUUGGCUAGAGUGCGUCAGAGGGAGGUGGAAUUCCACGUGUAGCAGUGAAAUGCGUAGAUAUGUGGAAGAACACCGAUGGCGAAGGCAGCCUCCUGGGACGCAACUGACGCUCAGACACGAAAGCGUGGGGAGCAAACAGGAUUAGAUACCCCGGUAC
rnacentral:rRNA from 1 species